UACGGAGGGUGCAAGCGUUAUCCGGAAUCACUGGGUUUAAAGGGUGCGUAGGCGGCUUUAUAAGUCAGAGGUGAAAGGCUACAGCUUAACUGUGGAAUUGCCUUUGAUACUGUGAAGCUUGAAUAAGGAUGAGGUUGGCGGAAUGUGGCAUGUAGCGGUGAAAUGCAUAGAUAUGCCAUAGAACACCAAUUGCGAAGGCAGCUGACUGGACCUUUAUUGACGCUGAGGCACGAAAGCGUGGGGAUCAAACAGG
rnacentral:rRNA from 1 species